rnacentral:rRNA from 1 species
UGAUGAGAAUUCUAAGGUGUGCUAGCGAACUCUCGUUAAGGAACUCGGAAAAAUGACCCCGUAACUUCGGGAGAAGGGGUGCUCUUUAGGGUUAACGCCCAUAAGAGCCGCAGUGAAUAGGCCCAAGCGACUGUUUAUCAAAAACACAGGUCUCUGCUAAACCGUAUGGUGAUGUAUAGGGGCUGACGCCUGCCCGGUGCUGGAAGGUUAAGAGGUGUGGUUAGCUUCUGCGAAGCUACGAAUCGAAGCCCCAGUAAACGGCGGCCGUAACUAUAACGGU